rnacentral:rRNA from 1 species
AGAGUUUGAUUCUGGCUCAGAAUGAACGCUGGCGGCGUGCUUAACACAUGCAAGUCGAACGAGAAAGUCCUUCGGGACAAGUAAAGUGGCGAACGGGUGAGUAACGCGUGGAAAUCUACCUUUUAGUGAAGAAUACCCUUGAGAAAUUAAGGUUAAUGCUGCAUAAGCCCUUCGGGGGAAAGACGGCCUCUUGCUGUCGCUAAAAGAUGAGUCCGCGUCCUAUUAGCUUGUUGGUGGGGUAAAGGCCCACCAAGGCAAAGAUGGGUAGCCGGCCUGAGAGGGUGAACGGCCACAUUGGGACUGAGAUACGGCCCAGACUCCUACGGGAGGCAGCAGUGGGGAAUUUUGCGCAAUGGGGGAAACCCUGACGCAGCGACGCCGCGUGAAGGAUUGAAGGUCUUAGGAUUGUAAACUUCUGUUAAGUGGGAAGAAAGACCGCUAUUUAAAAGAUGGCGGGGAUGACGGUACCACUAAAGAAAGCACCGGCUAACUUCGUGCCAGCAGCCGCGGUAAUACGAAGGGUGCAAGCGUUAUUCGGAGUUAUUGGGCGUAAAGAGUAUGUAGGCGGCUUGUUAAGUCAAUUGUUAAAGAUCCCGGCCCAACCGGGAAAGUGCAGUCGAAACUAACAGGCUAGAGUGUAAGAGAGAGAAGUAGAAUUCUCGGAGUAGCGGUAAAAUGCGUAGAUCUCGAGAGGAAUACCAGUUGCGAAGGCGGCUUCUUGGCUUAUUACUGACGCUGAGAUACGAAAGCGUGGGGAGCAAACAGGAUUAGAUACCCUGGUAGUCCACGCCGUAAACGAUGAUCACUAGGUGUUGGUUUCAUUCGUGAAAUCAGUGCCGUAGCUAACGCGUUAAGUGAUCCGCCUGGGGAUUACGGUCGCAAGACUAAAACUCAAAGAAAUUGACGGGGGUCCGCACAAGCGGUGGAACAUGUGGUUUAAUUCGACAAUACGCGAGGAACCUUACCUAGGUUUGACAUGUAAUCGCUACGAUUGGAAACAAUUGGUUUCGUGUUUACACGGACGGUUACACAGGUGCUGCAUGGCUGUCGUCAGCUCGUGUCGUGAGAUGUAAGGUUAAGUCCCUUAACGAGCGCAACCCUUGCCAUCAGUUGCUAUCCUUCGGGAGCACUCUGAUGGGACUGCCUUGGAAACAAGGAGGAAGGUGGGGAUGACGUCAAGUCCUCAUGGCCCUUAUACCUAGGGCUACACACGUGUUACAAUGGCGAGUACAACAGGAAGCAAUACCGCGAGGUGGAGCCAAACCUCUAAAGCUCGUCUAAGUUCGGAUUGGAGUCUGCAACUCGACUCCAUGAAGCUGAAAUCGCUAGUAAUCGUGUAUCAGAACGACGCGGUGAAUACGUUCUCGGACCUUGUACACACCGCCCGUCACACCACGAAAGUUGCCAGCACCCGAAACUGUUUUAGCUAACCUUUUAUUAGGGGGCGUGCAGUGAAGGUGAGGGGGAUGAUUGGGGUGAAGUCGAAACAAGGUA